rnacentral:lncRNA from 1 species
AUGUAAGAGUUAUCUCCCCGAACACUGUUUUUCUUGUUAUCUCUAAGGCUUCGCAACCGUAUAAGAAACCGACAAAUUUAUUUUUCCAAAUUGCUCGUUAUAUCCUCAGGAUGUUCUGUUUCAUUUUGACCGAAGCUAUCCGGAGACUCCAUAUGAGAGUUAUCCCCCCUUUUAUAUAUGAUAAUAAGUGAUAUGCAUUUCUAACUGGUAAACCAUAAGUGAUAGAGACCUAGGGUCUUUUGAUUUAAGAUCCUUGGUCCAAAAAAAAUGAAAAUUAGGUCAAGGUCAAAGGUCAAGGUCAAAUUUUAAAUUUUGAUUUUGGCUUAUUUUCACUUACUUUCAUUAACUUUAUAAGAUUUCAACAAAUUAUUUUUACUAAAUUGUUAGUUGCGACAUGUCGUAACUCAUAAAUUUUGAUUGGAAGGGUGCGUAGACAAUAAAUGGGAGUUUUUGCCUCUCUUAUAUUUAGAAUUAUGCGUAAAGUGAUAUUACUCAUGAACAUACAUAUUAAGGAACUAGUGUCUUUUGAUUCGAGAUGUUAAGUCUAUGACCUUGAAAUUGAGGUCAAGGUCAAAGGUUAAUUGGACGUUCUAGAUUUUGACCUUUGCUUUAAAUUCAUAUUUAUACAUCAUAAAGCCAUAGGAACUGACAUUUUUAACUGAAUUUUAAUAUUUUCAUAUCAAAAUAGAUCUUUAUUAGUUGAAAGACCUUCAAUUGUUCUUUGAACAAUUGGUUUUUAAUUAUUUUUUUUUUUCUUCCGCCAAUUUUUUUUUUCCUUCACUGUUUUUUUGUUUCCCAAGAUGUCGCUUAGAUAUAUGGUAUAUGAUAUCGAACAGUUAAUACGCUUCUGAAACUGACACCGCGUAACAAAAAACUUUACCUUGUAAGAGUUAUCUCCCCAAACACUGUUUUUCUUGUUAUAUCUAAGGCUUCGCAACCGUAUAAGAAACCGACAAAUUUAUUUUUCCAAAUUGCUCGUUAUAUCCUCAGGAUGUUCUGUUUUAUUUUGAUCAAAGCUAUCCGGAGACUCCAUAUGAGCGUUAUCCCCCCUUUUGUAUAUGAUAUAAGUGAUAUGCAUUUCUAACUGGUAAACCAUAAGUGAUAGAGACCUAGGGUCUUUUUGAUUUAAGAUCCUUUGGUCCAACAAAAUGAAAAUUAGGUCA